rnacentral:rRNA from 1 species
UACGUAGGGUGCAAGCGUUGUCCGGAAUUAUUGGGCGUAAAGAGCUCGUAGGCGGUUUGUUGCGUCGGCUGUGAAAUCCCCGAGGCUCAACCUCGGGUCUGCAGUCGAUACGAGCAAACUAGAGUGUUGCAGGGGAGACUGGAAUUCCUGGUGUAGCGGUGAAAUGCGCAGAUAUCAGGAGGAACACCGGUGGCGAAGGCGGGUCUCUGGGCAACAACUGACGCUGAGGAACGAAAGCGUGGGGGAGCGAACAGG